CAGAUUUUGGUGGAGUAUGAAGCAGAGGGUUUUUGUAGUAUUUUAAGUCAUGCUUCAUGGCUUAAUUUCCAUAACUGGGCAGCAAACUCCUGACAUGUCCCUGUGUCCAGCUGUAUGUUUUUGCCUGGCACAAAAGAUGACAAACAGAUGGCUUCUAAAGCAUUUGUGAUGCUGAGGAGAGGAACAUCCAUGUAGCAGCCUUCGUUCUGUGUCACUGCAGGUUGUCACAAAGCUCACAAACUGUCAGACAGCACAGAGGCACGAGGAUGGAGAACCUAUCCCCACCUUCUGUCUCUAUUGAGCCCCAGCUUGUUCCUCCUUACCCUCCAGAAUCCUGCUGGAUGGAGCCCUAUGGCAGUGAUGUUUGUGCUGUGCUCUGUUCUCAUUUCGGCUGUAAAACAUUCUGGCAGAAUUAAGUGAAUUCACAUUUUCUCUCUUUCUGGAGAGAAAGGGGAGAGCUGAGCUUGCUCAGUGAGAAAAAGUCUCUGAAGGGAUGGCAGUGUGCCUUUGCACCUAGGACAAAGGUGAUGCUACUACUCCCAGAUCCUUAUAUAUGACUUAAUUCCUGUUAAUUUUAUAGAAGAUAAAUGUCAAAAGUGGAGGCAGACAUUUGCAGUCUCGUGGGUUUGAACCUUGCUCACAAAUGCUAAUGAUAAGACCUUUUUUUCUGUGUAUUUGCAGCAACAAAUGGAAACAUCAGAGGUAAUUUUGUCAGAGAUAACAUGAUGAUGGUGGAAGGCAGCAUGGAAAUAUAGCCAAUAUCUUGGGGCUGGGAGGAACUUUCUAUAAACCUCUUACUUAGAUCUUCCUUUAACAUUCUGUCUGUUUCUGUGCUUAUAAUAAAAAAUGCUU